GACCCUAUAGAGUUUAAUAUUUGAUUGGUAAAUUAUUUUUUAGAAUUUAAUAUUAAUUUAUUUAUUAAUUAUUUGAUUGGGGUGAUUGAAAAAUUUAAGUAACUUUUUUUAUAUAAAAACAUUAAUUUAUGAUUGUUUGAUCCAUUUUUUAUGAUUAUAAGAUUAAAUUACCUUAGGGAUAACAGCGUAAUUUUUUUUAAGAGUUCAAAUCGAAAAAAAAGAUUGCGACCUCGAUGUUGGAUUAAAAUUUAUUUUUGGUGUAGAAGCUAAAUUUAUUGGGUCUGUUCGACCUUUAAAAUUUUACAUGAUCUG
rnacentral:rRNA from 1 species